rnacentral:ncRNA from 1 species
GUUGGUAGAGGCGCGGAUACUAAGAGUACAGCGGACAUCAAUGGCCGGCAAGCCGUUCGCUGGAAAGGAGUUUUCGCCGAAGUCAAGACUUCUGUUGUCGCGGGGUUUUGGCUGGGGUGCUGCAGAAUAUGCAGCGCACUGUCACGAAAGUGGAGCGCUAUC